CGUAGGUCAAAGGACCAGUCACACCAUUACAGUUUCAAGAAGACCACUGACGAGUGAGUAGACAUUCAAGUGAUUUUUCAUUUUGGUCACGCUCAAUGCAAGUUGUUCUCUAAUAACCAUCUAUACUCUCACCCCAGUGUCUCUACACCAUAGACUCAAGACUCAUCUAUCCUAAAGGAAGGUGAUCCGUGCAUCAAUCUUGAAUGAAUUGAUCAU
rnacentral:lncRNA from 1 species